CUUCGUACACGUCACAACCGCGUGCUUCCAGUAUACUUACAUUUACACUAUUUGUUACUUACAAUGCAAAUAGGCAAUGCCCGAGACGCGGCAAUAUGGUUAAUUGAGGACCAUUACCCUCAUGAGAGUAGGCUAUUUGAGUUAGUCUACCUAAUAACAGUAAUAACUUUCACUCCAGAUAAUUAUUAUUGUAGGACAAUGGAAAUUGCUCAACAAUAAGUUGAGGAUGAGUAUGAGUAUAGAGGUUAGCGGGCCAUGCUCGAGCAUUGGGCCUCGAAGCAAUGGUUCAGAGCACUUAGCCAAAUAGACCCUUGUACUCUAUCCCCGCUACGCAUUUCAGUGGCUAUUA